AUUGAACGCUGGCGGCAGGCCUAACACAUGCAAGUCGAGCGAGAGGCGGACGGGUGAGUAAUGUAUGGGGACUGCCCGAUAGAGGGGGAUAACUACUGGAAACGGUAGCUAAUACCGCAUACUAUCGGAUAACCCAUAUGGGAUUAGCUAGUAGGUGAGGUAAUGGAUCACCUAGGCGACGAGCCCUCGCUGGUCUGAGAGGAUGAUCAGCCACACUGUGACUGCGUCACGACCCGGACUCAUACGGAUGUUGCAGUGGGGAAUAUUGCACAAUGGGCGGAAGUCUGAUGCAGCCAUGCCGCGUGUAUGAAGAAGGCCCUAGGGUUGUAAAGUGCUUUCUUUCGGUAGGCGUUAGCGACAGAAGAAGCACCGGCUAACUCCGUGACAGCAGCCGCGGUAAUAC
rnacentral:rRNA from 1 species